GUAACCUCUAUUUCCUUCCAUCUUCUAUUUUCAGUUGCAUGUAAAACAUUUCUUCUUCUUCCUUCCAUCUUCUACCCUAAUUACUGUUUCUUUCUUCUUUCUUACUUUCACCAUUCUUCUUCUUCCCCCAUUCUUUUCUUUUUUCUCCAUCUUUCAUUUCAGUUCUUCCUCUUCCAGCGACAGCAAUGGAUUGGGGGGCAACAGAUUUUCUUUCUUCUUUCCUCUCCCUCGACACAAGGAGAUCCACCGACAACUACCGCCCUUACACCGGAGUGGAUGCAAAAUUGGUCCAAGGCAAGCUUCAAUUUGGGUACGUUGGUUUAAUUUGGGGAUUUUAUCAAUUGGGUGGGUUACGAAGAACAAGAACCCCGAGCGGUCUGAGCGUCAUUUCAGUGCCAAAAUAUGAUUGCCAUUUCCGUGCUGAAAUAUAGGUCCGGAGUAUCUUACUGCACAAGGAGAACGCAUGGUGAUAAUGCUCAUCCGGCAUGUAUUUGCAAUGGAGAAAGUACCUCGUCCCUACAUGAAAACACACUUUUAAAUGUCUAUGAAGAGAUUGAAGAUAUGGUAAGCACAGGAGAUGGAAUCGAGCUCGAACCAUAUGUGUAGUGUUGAGCUCCUCUUCUUGUCCACAUCAUCGUCAUCAUCUUAAGUAUUGUAGAGAUAUUUACAUUGCUCAGAUAGUUAGGAUCCAUGCAACCUAUAAUUCUCUCAACAUAUGUCAAUGCUUUACUUUCUUCCAUGCCUAAUUAACAUCUUUGAGAGUCCAAAGUCAAGAGUUCUGGUGCACAAUAUGCUAUGCUAUGCUGGUGACAAAUUAUUAUUAUCAAGUUUGUAUGUAUUUGACACAUUUAAUAUUGUCGAGCCUGGAUCACAUUGAUGCCAAA